GGUGAUAUAUGUAUAUAUAUGACAAAAUCUGAAUCCUGAGGAUAUUAACUGCUUAGAUUGAAAUGUCAAAUAUAGUAUAGGGAAGUUUCUACUCACAGAACUACAAAAGUUCAAUAUUUCUAAUAAAUUUGAACUAGCCCAACAAAUGAUGUGUUCAAAUUCAUAAAAGGGGGACUAUGAAGAAUUUUGAAUUCAAAUACUAAACUAUUGAUUUGAUGAAUUUUCCAUUCUACUAAACUGAAGAAAUUCAAUUUAUUUAUUCACUUUACAACCCAAUAUCAGUUCUUCCUC
rnacentral:lncRNA from 1 species